CCCAAUCCACAAAGACAAAAAAAUCAGUUGUAUCUCUAAGGAAAAACAAAUGCAAAAUCCAAAAAGAAAUUGGAAUAGACUAGAUUAGGAAAGUAAAGAGCCAUUAGCUCAGCUGAGAAAAUUGUAGCGUAUGUGACGUCGCCGGAGAUGGUAGAUGAGGCUUAACUGAUUCUGUAGCUCGAGGAGAUAAAUCAGCUGCUUUACAGAUAUAUUCAUCACCAACACCUGAGCGACCUCCUCCAGCUUUUAUUUGCUUCAGUUGUUCCAUUGUAGUUUGAACAUUAUGUGUAAAUAUGCUGUAAAGCACUUCAUUUGGAUUUUCAACGUUCCAACUUUGUGGCUCCUCGAAAGAUACUGGAAUAGGGACUGCCACGAUUGCCAUCUCCUCCAUCCUGGAUGACUGGACAUUUUCCUUUGUAGAACUUUGAAUUUUAUCAUCUUUUGCACUUGUGUUACUGUUAUCUGGUAAUAACUUGUGAGUGUCCUGAUUCUUUGAACCAACAUCUUUGGUGACAUGAUCUUCUUUCUAUCC